UACGUAGGGUGCGAGCGUUGUCCGGAAUUACUGGGCGUAAAGAGCUCGUAGGUGGUUUGUCGCGUUGUUCGUGAAAACCGGGGGCUUAACCCUCGGCGUGCGGGCGAUACGGGCAGACUGGAGUACUGCAGGGGAGACUGGAAUUCCUGGUGUAGCGGUGGAAUGCGCAGAUAUCAGGAGGAACACCGGUGGCGAAGGCGGUUCUCUGGGCCUGUACUGACGCUGAGGAGCGAAAGCGUGGGGAGCGAACAGG
rnacentral:rRNA from 1 species